CGUGAAAGAAGUAAUCCAAAUGAAAAAUUUGCAUAUGUGGGAGGAGAUAUGUCCAAAUAAGCAGUAUCUGACCUUGCCAUGACCGGAAAAUAAAAAAUCAUUGCUCAAAAGUGAAAGUAAAAAAUUCGAAGGCCAAUAUUUUGCAGAAAGAAGGCAGAUUCACUUGAAAUUUAGCUUUUAAUAAAUCAAUUAUUGUGUUUUUUAAUAAAUUCUAACCAUUUGAAUCAGGUAUAUGCGCGUGAAAUAAUAUAUAUUUAUUUAUUUCCAACACCACUAUUCCUGUGCAGUAGAGUUACUCCCCUUUACGCGGAAUUAUUACAUUGUUGUUACGGUGAAUUCGGGAGCGAUCUUUUGAGCAGUUUUACGGAUAUCGGUACGAUAAACACAGUAUUUGUUUGGCAGGAAGAGAAAUCGUCUCAUUUGGUAUCGAUGCAGAGAACAUGACUGACAAAGAUCUAUUGGACAGUGAUUAUGAUGGGAUUUCACAAAUACAUGAGCACAGUUACAUUGUGAUAUCGGACUCUGACGAGACACAACCACCUUCACCUUUUGGUUGACAGGAAUAUUCCAGUGAAAGAUCAGUUGUUCAACAGCCUUUUUGACAAACAAAUUCCUGGUGCUGCCAUUCCUAAUCAACCGACAUAUCAGAAUUUUGGAUAAGAAUUCAGAUUACUGGCUGCAUAUUCAACCGAAUUUUUGGGUCCUGGGUUGGUGGGGGGUAACGUGUUUCAGACCAGAAUCCUGCCGGACCAUCCAAUUGCAAGGACAUCUAACAUAGCUGAAAUGUAUCUGUAAUGAAUUAUUAAAAGUUUGGAUAAAAAAUGUGUUCUUAAAUCAUUAUUUUAAACAAAUUAUACACCCAGGUUGACUAUUUUGAAAAAAUGAAAAAUGACAAUUUUUACACAUGGGAUUUUUCAAUGUUUCCGCAUUCACUAACAUUACUUUAGACAAUGUAAGAUAGACAAACCAUACAUAUUUGGAAAUGGUUUACUAAUAUCUAUCAGAAAAUGUAUAAUUUUACUGGGUUUAUGUCAAUUUUCAAAAUCAGUGGUUAUUGCUACACACAGACCAAUGACAGUAGGACUACUGGCACUGACCGUUGGUUCAUCAGCAUGAAAAAUGGGUGUCAAAAAUAGCACAAAUAAUGUAAAAUGUGUAAUAUGCAUGUAUAACGAUGAAACUUACCAACCACUCGACCAGGAAACAUCUGUUGCAGACUAUGUGGGAUUCGGGAUGCUCUCCCACUGGCAUCAUAUGCAGAUCAGUGGUCACAAGAACGUACACAUCAUUAAUGUCAGCAAUAUAUAUCUCCGACUUCAAACACACAGCUUGCAAAAUCGCUGAAUAUUGCACAAAAGCAGCUUCGUUACAAACUUCCAGCAACUCGAAAUCCACAAGCAGUCUCGUUCCCCACCAACUUUGACUUCGCAGCGAAGGCAUGUUUUUUUUUGGAAACCGUUAACAUCUCACAACUAAACGUAUACUACGGAGAUUGACAAGUUGAAAAAUAAAUUACUGUUAUCACUUCCAAUUUGCGCACUACGUUAAAAUCCAGUUCCAUUUUGUCUUUAUUGUUGAAAUGCUACUCUACACAUUCGCUUUGAAAAUAGCGGUUGGCGUGUUGUUGGAAGUACAUGUACAUGUCGAAUGUGUUAUUGUAAAAACUAUUGGUAUUGUGUUUUUAGUGCAGACAUUGUAUUUAAGUUUCGAUUUCUAGCUUAAAUUUAUAUAUUUUGUUCAAUAAUUUGAGUUUAAAUGUGAUUGUUUGUUGCUUACUUACGAACUAUUUUUUAUGUGUAAAUAUGCAUAGACGCUAGUGGAUAUGUAAUCAGGUUACCAUAUUUACAACAAUAAAAUUUAACGGUU